rnacentral:rRNA from 1 species
CGCUGGCGGCGUGCCUAAUACAUGCAAGUCGAACGCGAAAGGCUUGAAGCCUUCGGGCGGAGGGCCGAGUAGAGUGGCGAACGGGUGAGGAACACGUAGGUGACCUGCCCCGGAGAGGGGGAUAACCGUCGGAAACGGCGGCUAAUACCCCAUAAGCUCACGCGAGUUAGAGGGCGUGUGAGAAAAGCUCCGGCGCUCCGGGAGGGGCCUGCGGCCCAUCAGCUAGUUGGUAGGGUAAAGGCCUACCAAGGCGAAGACGGGUAGGGGGCCUGAGAGGGUGGUCCCCCACAUGGGAACUGAGACACGGUCCCAA